rnacentral:tRNA from 2 species
GCCCCUGUAGCUCAAUUGGUAGAGCAACUGAUUUGUAAUCAGUAGGUUCGUGGUUCGAUUCCGCGCGGGGGCACCA